rnacentral:rRNA from 1 species
UACGUAGGUGGCAAGCGUUACUCGGAAUCACUAGGCGUAAAGCGCAGGUAGGCGGUUCGGUAAGUCUCUUGUGAAAGCUCCCGGCUCAACUGGGAGAGGUCAAGGGAAACUGCCGGGCUAGAGUGUGGCAGAGGAAGCUGGAAUUCCCGGUGUAGCGGUGAAAUGCGUAGAUAUCGGGAGGAAUACCUAUGGCGAAAGCAGGCUUCUGGGCCGUCACUGACACUGAUCUGCGAAAGCUAGGGGAGCAAACAGG